AUGCGAUCGUAGACUUAAGUUUUCUUCUUUGUUACUUGAUUUGAGAAACUUGAGAUUGCUUCUACUGUUUUUCAUAAAAGAGAUACAUCAUAUUUAUUAUCAAAUAUCAAUUAUACGAAUACGAGAUUGAAAAGGAAGGAGGAGACGAGAGCAUUAUUGUUCUUCUCCGUUCGCUUUUAUUGACGAGGCUCGAUAUUGGGUUCUAUAUAUUGGAUUCAUCUCUAAAAUUGGAAGAUCAAUCUAUAGGGUUUAGAUAUUCUAUUUAUGAAAACAUGUUAAUUGGAUCUAUUGGAAGA